AUGCUUACAUGUCACGUCAACAUUAACAUGGGAUUCGUUUCAAUGGAUGAUCAAACUCUUCAACGAACUGAAGUGAAAUUAUCCAGUCUGUAUCCAGAUCAGAUGAUGAAUCAGCACCUAGAGAUGACCACAACAGCUCUGAAUCUCAGUGGAAACCAAGUCAACAGACCCUACAGACAAAUCCCCUGCAAAGAACUCUUCACCUAGACUGCCAUCAGCACAAAUGAAGCGAGCUGAUGAGGACAUCACUGAAUCAACCAUGAACUAACUUUAACUGAGAAAUUGACUGUUUACUAUUGUCCUCUUUUUUAGGAUUUAGUUUGCAUAAUUGACACAAUUUUUCUGUUUAACACUGUAAAGCUGUAUAAAUAAAGGUGACUUGACAGACCAAUAUUAGAACUGUACAUGUCUGCCAUAUGAACAUUACAUUGAGAGCAAUAUCUGACAUAGCAGAUCUCUCUUCAAAGUAACAGAAACAUAUAUUUUAUGUAAUGCUGCUUUGAAGCUAUAUGUAUCCUUUAAAGUGGUUUCUGUUAUUUUGCUUCAACCCCUAUUAACUAUGCAUAUUUGAACAUUCCCUUAAAUAAUUCACUGCAUCCUAUCUGUGUCACUAAUUCAAAAUGAUAUACAUAAUGCAAAACUAUCUUGUUUAUCACUCAUUCUUAGGCAAUAAUUUUUUUAAAAAGAAAAGAAAUAAAGAAAUAAAAAUAAAAUGCUUGACAUGAAUAUUUGUAAAAAACUGCAUAUACACGCGUUUCAAAGAAACACAGUUAAUACCUUAUUUAAUGCACUUAACAAUUGUCAUUGAAAAAAAUAAAUAAAUAAUCCAAUGAAACGAAUGGAGCCUAAACAAAAUAAUCUGGGCAUGGUCUGUGAGACGCACAUAUAAACGCAUUAUAAACUUCCCUUAGACGGCAUCUGAUACAUUGGAAUAGUGAAAGGGGAAACAACAGAGUCCAAUAAUGGUACAAACAUUCACAAAUAAUGUGGAAGGCUUUGAAAUCUGCUCCUCAGAAAAUUCCAUGUGACUAGUCUGUGGUCUUUCAGCAUCAGCUGGAAACUCGGGUAAAACUAUUUGCAUAUAUGCGCAAGUCCCCAGUUAACAUGAACACAAGUUGAUCCAUAACACCGGCACAUGUCUAAUUUACAGACUAGAGGGAAUUAUAAUGUAAGAGAAAACCUGUUGGGAAAUUAUAUCAUAUUUCCACUACAUUUACAAAAUGAGUAAUCUCUUUAUAUAAGACAAUAUAAAGAGAGAUAAUAAGGAGACAUGUUUUAAAAUCUUGUUCGCUUUAUCAUAUAUUAGUUUUAAAAUCUGUAAUUAAAAAAAGGAUUAAAAAAAUGAAAAUUCUUUCUUUAUUUUCUCGUUUUUUGUUUCACACCUCAAAAUCAAAAUUUUAG
ensembl:lncRNA